UGCCAGCCCCCAGCCUUGGCCCAGCCCCCACGUUUAUGACUGUUUAUUUCAGAGCAAGUAGAAGGAGAAAUUAGAGUCAUAAAAGACAGGACAACAGACCAAUAAAAACCAGCUCCCAGAAGAAGCAGAGGAAGAGAGGCAAAACUGUCACCAUAGCAACACUAGGCAGAAACAUGCAGGAAAAACAGCUCUGCUCUGCCUCCUCUCUACUGCAAAAAAGCCUUGGAACCCCUCUCAGAGCUCCUAACAUGACUGACCCUACGAUCGCAGCCUCCAAGCCCAGACCUGCUGGUGGCACCCUCCUCUUGCUGUCUUGCAGGGCACCGCACCAGCUUUCUGUGCCCUGGGGACUCCUGGAGAUGGAGAGAUUGAACAUCACCAAGUGGCAGGCACUUUGCUGAAGGAUGGAAUGAGGACACCUUCCAAGGCCUUGAGGACACAGGCGGCCAGCCCCAGCUAUGACAAGGCAAAAUAAGACACAGGUUGAAUGGAGAUAUCUGUUGUGUGGUCCUCGGAGCAGCAGACGCUGGGAGCAGGUUCUGAAGAGGACAGUGUUUGAACUGCAUUCUGAGGGCUGAGCCAAACUUCAACAGGCAGGAAAUGAAACAAGGGCACUGAUGGUAGAUGGACAAAGUAGAGGUCACCAUAACAGCAUCGUGCUAGGGAGGUGGACAGUGGAAACCAGGUCAGUCUGAGGAGGCUGCACUCGAUCCUAGGAGGCCUCAGGAAACUAAUGAUAGGCUAAGGGCCUUUCUUUCAUCAGAGGAGGUAGAGGAAGAGGAGGAGGCAAAAAUGCAAGGGUAUUCAGAGGACUUCCCUCCUUGCCAGGGGCUCUGGCCAGCCCUCCAUGGACUGGGUCUUCCCCCUCAUCUUUGAAACACAUCAUCUCCCAGAGUUGAGAAAAAUGCUUGGCACAGACUAGGGCAGAGACUUUUUAUCUUGGAAAGCACCCCCCAAAUUCCUCAACAAAUUAGAUUUAUCUUCCCAGCAUGGGGCCCUUGUCUGUUGAGGGAUCUUGCCUGCUCCUGGACUUCCUUCUGGAUGCGGAUCUGGGGUGGUUUCUUCCUCCAUCUCCAGGUAUCAAGGAUCAUGAUUUUGGGGACAGUGUGGCAUAUGAACUCAGACUUCUGUCCUCUGAAUGCUGCUAUAAAACUGACAGUCUGAGCCACAGUCUCCUCUAACCCACCACGUUUCAUGAUCUAUGCUGGUGUCAGGAAUAUUUCAUAUAUGCAAGUUUCCUGAGAUCAGAGACAUUUUCUGUGACCUCACCUAGACUUAGGAUCAAAGUUGAAUAUGAAUCCUGCUUCUACCAGUCACGAGCUACAUGAGCUUCAAAAAGUCACUUAAUUAUCGGGAGUUUGGUUUUUCCCUUCCAUAAAAUGGGAAUAAUAAAACCUACUUCAGAAGGCUGAUGUGAGGGCUGAUCUACAUGUAAAGUGCUUGGCAGCUGGGAAAAAGAAGCUGUGUAAAAUGUUACCUGUCCUUUCAUGUGUGUCACUUGCAUUGCUUUGAAUUACACUGGUCACACAGUAAGUGCUAAUUUAAAACUUGCUGGUUAAAAAUAUAAAAAAAUAGAAAACUAAAAUCCUUCAUAGAUGUGGAUAUGGUAGGGAGUUCUCAGGGUCCUAGGUCCUAGAACAUUAUAGUGCUUGUUCUUUGCGUACUAUGUUAUAAGAAAAAAAAAUCUUAAUAUUUACCCUUCCAUAUCCCUGACCUUCAACAAGAAUUAUUGUCUGAGUCACUUUCUCAUCACUGGGACACUAUACCUAACACCCACAACCUAAAGGAGGAGAGGUUUAUUUUGGUUCAGUUUGUAGAGGUUUCAGUCCAUGGCUGGCAGGCUCCAAGCAAGAGGGCCUAGCAGAGUGGCAUAGAGGAGAAGCUGCUCACAGCUUGAUGACAGACACCCAGAGGGUGUCAAGGGAGGAGCCAGAAGUGAAAUAUAAACUUCCAGGUCAAGCCCCCGGGUACCUGCCUCUUCUGACCAGGCCCCUCUUCCUAACAGCAAAUCAACUAUAUGCCUCAUAAUAUAAUCAUCCUCCACGAGCCCCACAGGCAGCUUUCAAGGGCAUUUUAGCUGUAAACCAUAACAAUUACAUGGUAUUUUCCUGCUGAUGUUUCCCACAGUGGCCUCCAGAGGUGAUGGGCUUUCUUGCCAGGUGUUGGCCAAGGUCCUUUAUGUAAGUAGGGGAUUCUGCUAAAACACAGGCUAUGCUUCAGAAGGAUGGAUAAUAGCUUUGAUUACAAAUAUAGCACCAAUUUUCUCAGCUGACAUACUGCAUACUUCCUUGUUGCAAAAACCACUGCCCAAACCAUGUAGGGAAACUGUAGGGGCUGAAAAUCCUUGCCUGAGGCUGAGAUACUCAUGUGAUUUAAGGGUUCUGAUUUGAUUGCUCUUUUAAUCCCUGGGUUCAAUGUGGCAGGGUCUUUCAGAACACCUCUCUUUUGCAUGCAGUUCCCCUCUGUCUCAACUGACCCUUUAUUUUGGUGCAUUCAGUUUCUCCCCAUGAUUUUAGAACCUGGCUCACAGUAGAUCCUCCACGAUGACUGCUUCAACUGUCCAAACCAUGGCAAGUGUCCUUUCCCGUGUGUUCCCGAAACAUUGCAUUCCUAUACAUUGGGAACCUUACCUAACACUUUCAACUGUAAAGUCACCAUGAAUACUGAAGUAGUGAAUACUGAGACAUAGCUUGUCAAGAGAAUACAGGGUUAGGUUCCCAUAAGUGUCUGGUCACAUUUCAUCAACUAAUCGAUGCAAAACCUUCUUUGACUCUGUUGAGAGACACCUUUUUUGACUCUGUUGAGAGACAUAUAUUGUUGAUCAUUAACACUGAACUCACUUUCAGCAACACCUUUAAUUUGGCCUGAAUGAAACUUUUCUGUUUAAAGAGCAGCACUGUCUUGUGUUUAGGAACCCUUGGUGACAUUUCAGCACUGUGCUCCAAUGCCUCGCCAUCAAAAAGAGCAAAAAUAAGCUGGAGGGGAGAGGGUAGUGGCACUAUGGGAAGGUGAGGUAGAAGAAUCAUGAGUUUGAGCCCAGCCUGGUUAAUUUAGCCACUUAGCAUGAUCUUGUUUAAAAAUCAGUGUUUAAUAAAAAGAAAAGUGUUGGGGAUGUAGCUUAACAUAAAAGCCCUCGUUUCCAUCCCCAGUUGAAAAUAAAACCCACAAAAAUGAAAAAGACAUGGUAACGUGCAUUAUGGUGACUCAAGACUUAAGUCUUUCAUGAUUGGCACACAGAAGUAGAAGAACACAGAGGCUCUUAGCAUAUUGAGUUGGGGGUUACAGAUAAAUCUGAGAAAGAUGAAUCCACAAAUAUGGAACCCUUAAGUAAUGAACAUUAACUGCAGUGGUCUUCAAAUCCACUAGCCCCUCAGAAAGCACUGGUUGUGCAAAACCUUUACAUUCAAUAAGUGCCAGUUGAAUGAGUGAGACACUUAGUCCAGACCUGCUUUCUUUAGAUGUUUACCAAGAAUGUAAAACUUACAUUAAUAAAGCAGGAAGAGAGUUGUUGGUUCUCCUACAGGAGCAUCAAAGUUCUGACUUUGUUCUAUCAGUUAUUUGACAACAGCCUCCAACUCCAGUGUAAGGACCCUUCAUGUGACACAUCUGGAAAGUAUGCCUAUUAGGUUCUAAGACAGGCAAGAAAUUACAAACAGCACCACUCCCCCAUCUUCUCCAAAAAGGGAAGAGGGAACAACAGACUUAUAGGAAAAAUAGAGCCAAAUGAUGGCCAAAGAUGAAGAAAAUGACAAAGCGGAAGAACCAAUAGGGACACUGGUGACAGUGUAGUAAGGGAAGGAGAAUGGAAUCCAGAGGCAGGGAUAACAAGGGGAUCCUGCUUUUCAGUGACCAAGACUGAGCCCCUUAGAGGCUGGAGAUUAGGGCAUAGCCAACCGCUUGGGGAGUGGAGUAACCUGUCAAUCAGAGUUCCAAGAAACACAUGCAGAACAGUUCUGAAAGCACUGCACCUGGAACCAAUCAGAGAGUGCUAUUUUCAGUUCUUCUGGAGAAGACUGGAGCGGGAUUUUGAGUAGAACAGCCUAGAUCUGAUGUCAUCCUGAGGAGUACCAUCUAACCAGCUGUCACUGUUAACUUUUUCAAUGUCCCACCCUGUUUUCUUGCAGGGUAUAUUUCUUUUACCUUAAUUGUCCCAAAAUCGGUCUGCAGAGCAUAUUUCUUUCAUUUUCAUAUCUUUAGUAAGUAUAAAGCUCCUCUGUGUUUUGCACUUUUCUUGACCAAUUCUUUGUUCAAGAUAGAAAGAACCUAGAAAGCACCUCUGGAAGGGGUCCCUAGAACCCUCAUUUAGGGGUAAUACCACUCAUUGAGUAAUACCACUCAUUUCAGUGGAAGGACUUUGGGCUGUUUUCUGCACUUCUUGUGGCUUGUUCUUUAUCUGUACAAAAUGGUGACUAUGGAGCUUGCCAUAAGUAAAUGCCACUGGCAUUUACUGAAUGCCUACUGGUGCCAAACAGAAGAAUAAAUUACAGAUAACUAACGGACCAAGUGAAGCUUCUGUUGUACUCCAACUCCCAAAUUUAAAAUCAUUAUAACUUUUUUCACUCAUCUGUCUAUUUCUAUUCUCAUUCUCCAAUUUGCAAGGUUUCAAUGUAUGACUUUUCUAAAUUGAGAUACUCUCACACUUUUUCAUAGGAUAGUAGCUCACCAGGUACCUCCAAAAAUUGCUUAUUCCAUCAGUUUUCAAUGCCUUUGACACAUGAUUCAUCCCCUCCGGAGAGUCAGUCUCACCAUCCUCAAGCUCUCAGUUUCCAAAAUCACUACCACCAGCACAGUGAUGAUAUUUGAACUGGAGUCUUUGAGCAAAAGCUUAGUCUGUCUUACAGCCAUAUGCUAGUCAUCUAAGCAGCAUCACAAACAAGUAACAAGGGGCCACUUAUGACAAUUCCUAUUUUAUAGACAGGGAAAUUAAGGUCUGAUAUAACUUGUUUAAGUCGUCUACUGAAUCACAGCUACAGAUGAGAGAAUAAGAUAAAAAUGCCACAAUUCACAAUUGAGGAGACUGUGAGUCCCUUGGACUUGGAGAACCACAUCUUCUUUGUUUUCUUUGCAAAUGGAUUUUUGUUUUGUUUUGUUUUGUUUUGAGCAAAUCUAUUAGUAAGCAAGUAUGCGGAUUUGAUUCAGAUGUAGGCCAGGAUUUCUCUCUUAUUAUCAGAGAUUUUGUCAAAUUUAUGCUUAUAAAAAGUACAAUUUCAUUAUGAAGACAAUGCUAAUGUUUUCAUGAAAGCAAAUGGUUGACGCUAUAGAGCUUCAUGGUGGGCCAUGCUGCUAACAGACACAUAGAUACAUGUUUCAUGUUUUUACUUCUGUAAGUAUAUGUGACAGCUACAUAAAUCAGUAUUUGAAAAAUUUUCAA